CUUGGGCCAAGCCCCUCGGAGGUGUCCUCGACGCCGCCGCCGCCUCGGCUCCCAGCCACCUCGCGGGCCGGCCUGGCCGCGCCACCGUUGGCCCUCGCCACCCCACCCACCACGCCUGACUUGCAUCUUCUCUCGUCCAGACUCUUUACUCUCCCUGGUCUUACCUGCAUCUACUAUCCAUGCUUUAAUUUUUUUAAAAAGAAAUUAAAUCCCCAUCGGCCACCUCCGGCCCCACCGCCUCCAGGACUUGCCUUUGCACUCCAAGCCCGUGCUCCCUCCCGUCCCGGCCGGCCCUGAGUGGCCUGGGGCCCCCUUUCUCUGUCUCCCGCCGUCUCUCAGCACCUCCCCUUCACCUCUCCAUGCACUAGCCACAAGGCCUUUUAGUGGUUAUUUGAAUAAUCCACACUCUGCCUUCCCGAAGCCAUUCCCUCGGCUUGCCCCUGUGAUGUAGCGGCCCCUGUCACAGACCAACUGAAGACACCUGUGGUCUGACCCAUGUUGAAUCAGGCAGAGCAGGACAACUUCAGAGGCUGGAGGCCCAGCGGAGCGCCCGGCAGAUGCCAGGGAAGGAGCCGGGUUUCUGGAAUUGAUAAAAAAACUGACGUACAGAGAGAUUGAGAGGUGCUUAUUUAUGGACACAGAGCUGAGAGAUGGCAGAGAUGGGAUUCAAACCCACGCAGCCUGGCUCCAGAGUCAAUGCUAUGUUGGCCUCUCAUGUAGGGUAUGAAAAGACUGAAUCUAAUCAACAGUGACAGAAGAUUAUUUCUGCUACCAUAUUGAAUGGAAACAAGAUUCACAAGCAAGGACUGAUACUAAUGUCAAGUGAGAAAGAGAGAGAGGCAGAGACACAGGAGGAAGGAGAAGCAGGCUCCAUGCCGGGAGCCCGACGUGGGACUCAAUCUUGAGACUCCAGGAUCGCACCCUGGGCCAAAGGCAGGCGUUAAACCGCUGAGCCACCCAGGGAUCCCCCACAAGGAUGGAUUUUAAGAACCCAAGAAUCUCUGCUCUUAAUUCUCCCAACCACAAGAGAGAGGGAUAGUGAUUUCUACCCACAUAUGCCUAGUUCCCAUCUGACAUGCGACAUUGGUCCUUGAAGUUUAAUAAUCAUGGUCACGGUAACUAGCCUUCUGAGCAUGCAGGAAAGUGAGCUAUGUGUAAGUGAGAAACAUCUUCUACGUCUAGCUCUAACAACACUCAGAAAUGCAAGCUCACCUGGGUAUGCUAAGGAUUCAUCAGCACUCUCCCACAACUGUGUGUGGCCAAGUUGUAUGUACUUGUUUGGCUAUAAAAUAAGAGGUUCAGUAACUACUUGUUGUUGUGGGUGGGCAAUUAAGCAGUUGGUGAUACAAUAUCUAAGAAGAAAUAUCUAAGUUCUAUUUCCUGACAAAGGGAAGCUUAAAAUUUCUCAGAUUUUUCUUAGUACAUAUUGACAUUUAAAAGGGUGAAGAAAAAGGUGUGAUACCAGCUGUCUUCAUGUACGAGUCAGUAAUAAAUUUCCAUGACAAUCA